rnacentral:rRNA from 1 species
AUUGAACGCUGGCGGCAUGCCUUACACAUGCAAGUCGAACGGCAGCGGACCUUCGGGUGCCGGCGAGUGGCGAACGGGUGAGUAAUAUAUCGGAACGUACCUUUCAGUGGGGGAUAACGUAGCGAAAGUUACGCUAAUACCGCAUAUUCUGUGAGCAGGAAAGCAGGGGAUCGCAAGACCUUGCGCUGAUUGAGCGGCCGAUAUCAGAUUAGCUAGUUGGUGAGGUAAAGGCUCACCAAGGCGACGAUCUGUAGCGGGUCUGAGAGGAUGAUCCGCCACACUGGAACUGAGACACGGUCCAGACUCCUACGGGAGGCAGCAGUGGGGAAUUUUGGACAAUGGGCGAAAGCCUGAUCCAGCAAUGCCGCGUGAGUGAUGAAGGCCUUAGGGUUGUAAACUGCUUUUGGAUGGGAAUAAUAACCUCGACGUGUCGGGGCUUGAAGGUACCAUCAGAAUAAGCACCGGCUAACUCCGUGCCAGCA